AGUGAACGCUGGCGGUAGGCCUAACACAUGCAAAUCGAACGGCAGCACAGUAGGAGCUUGCUCUUACGGGUGGCGAGUGGCGGACGGGUGAGGAAUACAUCGGAAUCUACUUUUUCGUGGGGGAUAACGUAGGGAAACUUACGCUAAUACCGCAUACGACCUACGGGUGAAAGCAGGGGAUCUUCGGACCUUGCGCGAUUGAAUGAGCCGAUGUCGGAUUAGCUAGUUGGCGGGGUAAAGGCCCACCAAGGCGACGAUCCGUAGCUGGUCUGAGAGGAUGAUCAGCCACACUGGAACUGAGACACGGUCCAGACUCCUACGGGAGGCAGCAGUGGGGAAUAUUGGACAAUGGGCGCAAGCCUGAUCCAGCCAUACCGCGUGGGUGAAGAAGGCCUUCGGGUUGUAAAGCCCUUUUGUUGGGAAAGAAAAGCAGCAGGUUAAUACCCCGCUGUUCUGACGGUACCCAAAGAAUAAGCACCGGCUAACUUCGUG
rnacentral:rRNA from 1 species